UUUUAAAAAAUUGUUAAAAUGUAAACCUUUAGUUAUUUAUUGGACAGUAGAAUGCUUCUGCUGCAUAAAUAUGGGCUGUUUUUGACAAUACAAUGCACAUAUAUCCGGUACUAGCACCAUUAAGUCAUGCUAAAUUACUGAAAUCCUCAUAAUUCUAGCAUUUUAGUUAAAUUUUAGACGGUUUUCGUGUAAAACGAAAGUGGCCGCAUUCAUGUUCAUCCUUAAUAUUGAAAUAUAAAUUGUAUUUUAUGAUAAUACAUAACAUAUAUAAAGGUUGAGGGAUGAACACGGAUGCGGCCACUUUCAUUUUUACCAAAAACCAUCUGAAAAGUGACAUUUUUCGGCAUAUUAGGUAGAUUUUUCAUAUUUGAGCUUGAAUCGGAUCGUUUUUAAUGACUAAAUCUGUUAAAAUCUUUCACAUUAACUAAUUAAUUCAAAUAAAAUAGACACUUUUAAGUGUUUAAAAAGUGGUCAAAAUCUUUCGUCAGAUGAACCUGAAAUUUGAGGCCAAAAUCGGUCCUUACCGGACCUACUCCUUU
rnacentral:lncRNA from 1 species